GUACAGACUGAAUUAAGAGAUUUGCCAUCUGUCUGAUGUAUCU
ensembl:snoRNA